rnacentral:rRNA from 1 species
CUAGCAUAUCAUAAGCGGAGGAAAAGAAACCAACAGGGAUUGCCCUAGUAACGGCGAGUGAAGCGGCAACAGCUCAAAUUUGAAAUCUGGCUCCUUCGGGGCUCGAGUUGUAAUUUGUAGAGGGUGCUUUGGCGUUGGCCAUGGUCUAAGUUCCUUGGAACAGGACGUCACAGAGGGUGAGAAUCCCGUACGUGGCCGUUGGCCUUCGCCAUGUAAAGCCCCUUCGACGAGUCGAGUUGUUUGGGAAUGCAGCUCUAAAUGGGAGGUAAAUUUCUUCUAAAGCUAAAUAUUGGCCAGAGACCGAUAGCGCACAAGUAGAGUGAUCGAAAGAUGAAAAGCACUUUGGAAAGAGAGUCAAAAAGCACGUGAAAUUGUUGAAAGGGAAGCGCUUGCAGCCAGACUUGCCCGUAGUUGCUCAUCUAGGCUUCUGCCUGGUGCACUCUUCUGCGGGCAGGCCAGCAUCAGUUCAGGCGGUCGGAUAAAGGUCCUGGGAAUGUGGCUCUCUUCGGGGAGUGUUAUAGCCCAGGGUGCAAUGCGACCAGCCUGGACUGAGGUCCGCGCAUCUGCUAGGAUGCUGGCGUAAUGGCUGUAAGCGGCCCGUCUUGAAACACGGACCAAGGAGUCUAACAUCUAUGCGAGUGUUUGGGUGUCAAGCCCGAGCGCGCAAUGAAAGUGAACGGAGGUGGGAACCCGCAAGGGUGCACCAUCGACCGAUCCUGAUGUCUUCGGAUGGAUUUGAGUAAGAGCAUAGCUGUUGGGACCCGAAAGAUGGUGAACUAUGCCUGAAUAGGGUGAAGCCAGAGGAAACUCUGGUGGAGGCUCGCAGCGGUUCUGACGUGCAAAUCGAUCGUCAAAUUUGGGCAUAGGGCGAAAGACUAAUCGAACUAUCUAGUAGCUAGUUCCUGCGAU